GUCUCACUUUGGCAGCACAUAUACUAAAAUUGGAACAAUACAGAGAAUAUUAGCAUGACCCCUGUGUAAGGAUGAAAUGCCAAUUUGUGAAGCAUUCCAUAUUUUA